AGAGUUUGAUCAUGGCUCAGAUUGAACGCUGGCGGCAUGCCUUACACAUGCAAGUCGAACGGUAACAGGUCUUCGGAUGCUGACGAGUGGCGAACGGGUGAGUAAUACAUCGGAACGUGCCCGAGAGUGGGGGAUAACGAAGCGAAAGCUUUGCUAAUACCGCAUACGAUCUCAGGAUGAAAGCAGGGGACCGCAAGGCCUUGCGCUCACGGAGCGGCCGAUGGCAGAUUAGGUAGUUGGUGGGAUAAAAGCUUACCAAGCCGACGAUCUGUAGCUGGUCUGAGAGGACGACCAGCCACACUGGGACUGAGACACGGCCCACACUCCUACGGGAGGCAGCAGUGGGGAAUUUUGGACAAUGGGCGCAAGCCUGAUCCAGCCAUGCCGCGUGCAGGAUGAAGGCCUUCGGGUUGUAAACUGCUUUUGUACGGAACGAAAAGACUCUGGUUAAUACCUGGGGUCCAUGACGGUACCGUAAGAAUAAGCACCGGCUAACUACGUGCCAGCAGCCGCGGUAAUACGUAGGGGUGCGAGCGUUAAUCGGAAUUACUGGGCGUAAAGCGUGCGCAGGCGGCUAUGCAAGACAGAUGUGAAAUCCCCGGGCUCAACCUGAGAACUGCAUUUGUGACUGCAUGGCUAGAGUACGGAGAAGGGGGGGAAUGAAUUUCCGGCGUGGUAGCAGUGAAAUGCGUAAAUUAUGCCGGAGGAACCACCGAAUGGGCGAAGGCCAUCCCCUGGUAUCUGUACUGACCGCUCAUGCACGAAAGCGGUGGGGGAAGCAAAACAAGAAUUAGAUACCCCUGUAGUCCCACGCCCCUAAACGAUGUCCAGCUUGUUGUUAGGAACGGCUUGCUGGUCAGUACGAAGCUAACGCGUGAAGUCGACGGCUGAGAGAGUACCGCCGGCUAUGAUGAUCUUCGAUAGAUGACGGACCGUACAAGAUGCGAGGAUGGAUGUGCUUAC
rnacentral:rRNA from 1 species